rnacentral:rRNA from 1 species
UACAGAGGGUGCAAGCGUUAAUCGGAAUUACUGGGCGUAAAGCGCGUGUAGGCGGGUCUUUAAGUCAGGGGGGAAAUGCCAGGGCUCAACCUUGGAACUGCCUUUGAUACUGGAGACCUUGAGUCCGGGAGAGGUGAGUGGAAUUGCGAGUGUAGAGGUGAAAUUCGUAGAUAUUCGCAAGAACACCAGUGGCGAAGGCGGCUCACUGGCCCGAUACUGACGCUGAGGCACGAAAGCGUGGGGAGCAAACAGG